CGUAGGUGAACCUGCGGAAGGAUCAUUACCGUUGUCUGUGCUGCUGCCUUCUGGGCGCUGCGGCUCGAUACCAUACUGAAACUGGCCUCCUGGAUCCCUGCGGCAGGGUGCGCGUUGGCAGACGCCUGGAGACCCGUCCCGGGUCCUUCGCUCGCGGCGAGGUUUUACCCGUCUGUGGCUGGGCCUGCCUGUCGCGGGCAGCGCCUGGGUUCUUUAAGCCGGUACGUUUACCCGCCCGCCUCCCGCCCGGGAAGGUAGGGUGCGUUCAAAGAGACCCGGUCGUUCGCCACCGGGCCGCCGGCCCAACUCGGUCGUCUAACCCACUCACACGAACACGGAAACACUUUGACCACGGGCCUUCUCGCAAGGCCCGAUGCAUAAGAACGCUUUUUUUCUUGCAGUACGACCGUAGGCGUUGGAUCACUCGGCUCGUGCAUCGAUGA
rnacentral:rRNA from 1 species